rnacentral:rRNA from 1 species
GGUUAAGCGACUAAGCGUACACGGUGGAUGCCCUGGCAGUCAGAGGCGAUGAAGGACGUGCUAAUCUGCGAAAAGCGUCGGUAAGGUGAUAUGAACCGUUAUAACCGGCGAUGUCCGAAUGGGGAAACCCAGUGUGAUUCGUCACACUAUCGUUAACUGAAUACAUAGGUUAACGAGGCGAACCGGGGGAACUGAAACAUCUAAGUACCCCGAGGAAAAGAAAUCAACCGAGAUUCCCCCAGUAGCGGCGAGCGAACGGGGAGCAGCCCAGAGUCUGAAUCAGCUUGUGUGUUAGUGGAACGGUCUGGAAAGUCCGACGGUACAGGGUGAUAGUCCCGUACACCAAAAUGCACAGGUUGUGAACUCGAAGAGUAGGGCGGGACACGUGGUAUCCUGUCUGAAUAUGGGGGGACCAUCCUCCAAGGCUAAAUACUCCUGACUGACCGAUAGUGAACCAGUACCGUGAGGGAAAGGCGAAAAGAACCCCGGCGAGGGGAGUGAAAAAGAACCUGAAACCGUGUACGUACAAGCAGUGGGAGCACCUUUAUGGUGUGACUGCGUACCUUUUGUAUAAUGGGUCAGCGACUUAUAUUCUGUAGCAAGGUUAACCGUAUAGGGGAGCCGCAGGGAAACCGAGUCUUAACUGGGCGUUAAGUUGCAGGGUAUAGACCCGAAACCCGGUGAUCUAGCCAUGGGCAGGUUGAAGGUUGGGUAACACUAACUGGAGGACCGAACCGACUAAUGUUGAAAAAUUAGCGGAUGACUUGUGGCUGGGGGUGAAAGGCCAAUCAAACCGGGAGAUAGCUGGUUCUCCCCGAAAGCUAUUUAGGUAGCGCCUCGUGAACUCAUCUUCGGGGGUAGAGCACUGUUUCGGCUAGGGGGUCAUCCCGACUUACCAACCCGAUGCAAACUACGAAUACCGAAGAAUGUUAUCACGGGAGACACACGGCGGGUGCUAACGUCCGUCGUGAAGAGGGAAACAACCCAGACCGCCAGCUAAGGUCCCAAAGUCAUGGUUAAGUGGGAAACGAUGUGGGAAGGCACAGACAGCCAGGAUGUUGGCUUAGAAGCAGCCAUCAUUUAAAGAAAGCGUAAUAGCUCACUGGUCGAGUCGGCCUGCGCGGAAGAUGUAACGGGGCUAAACCAUGCACCGAAGCUGCGGCAGCGACACUAUGUGUUGUUGGGUAGGGGAGCGUUCUGUAAGCCUGCGAAGGUGACCUGUGAGGGUUGCUGGAGGUAUCAGAAGUGCGAAUGCUGACAUAAGUAACGAUAAAGCGGGUGAAAAGCCCGCUCGCCGGAAGACCAAGGGUUCCUGUCCAACGUUAAUCGGGGCAGGGUGAGUCGACCCCUAAGGCGAGGCCGAAAGGCGUAGUCGAUGGGAAACAGGUUAAUAUUCCUGUACUUGGUGUUACUGCGAAGGGGGGACGGAGAAGGCUAUGUUAGCCGGGCGACGGUUGUCCCGGUUUAAGCAUGUAGGCUGGUUAUCCAGGCAAAUCCGGAUAAUCAAGGCUGAGGUGUGAUGACGAGGCACUACGGUGCUGAAGUAACAAAUGCCCUGCUUCCAGGAAAAGCCUCUAAGCAUCAGGUAACACGAAAUCGUACCCCAAACCGACACAGGUGGUCAGGUAGAGAAUACCAAGGCGCUUGAGAGAACUCGGGUGAAGGAACUAGGCAAAAUGGUGCCGUAACUUCGGGAGAAGGCACGCUGGUGUGUAGGUGAAGCCCCUGCGGGUGGAGCUGAGACCAGUCGAAGAUACCAGCUGGCUGCAACUGUUUAUUAAAAACACAGCACUGUGCAAACACGAAAGUGGACGUAUACGGUGUGACGCCUGCCCGGUGCCGGAAGGUUAAUUGAUGGGGUUAUCCGUAAGGAGAAGCUCUUGAUCGAAGCCCCGGUAAACGGCGGCCGUAACUAUAACGGUCCUAAGGUAGCGAAAUUCCUUGUCGGGUAAGUUCCGACCUGCACGAAUGGCGUAAUGAUGGCCAGGCUGUCUCCACCCGAGACUCAGUGAAAUUGAACUCGCUGUGAAGAUGCAGUGUACCCGCGGCAAGACGGAAAGACCCCGUGAACCUUUACUAUAGCUUGACACUGAACAUUGAGCCUUGAUGUGUAGGAUAGGUGGGAGGCUUUGAAGCGUGGACGCCAGUCUGCGUGGAGCCAACCUUGAAAUACCACCCUUUAAUGUUUGAUGUUCUAACGUUGGCCCCUUAUCGGGGUUGCGGACAGUGUCUGGUGGGUAGUUUGACUGGGGCGGUCUCCUCCCAAAGCGUAACGGAGGAGCACGAAGGUUAGCUAAUCCUGGUCGGACAUCAGGAGGUUAGUGCAAUGGCAUAAGCUAGCUUGACUGCGAGCGUGACGGCGCGAGCAGGUGCGAAAGCAGGUCAUAGUGAUCCGGUGGUUCUGAAUGGAAGGGCCAUCGCUCAACGGAUAAAAGGUACUCCGGGGAUAACAGGCUGAUACCGCCCAAGAGUUCAUAUCGACGGCGGUGUUUGGCACCUCGAUGUCGGCUCAUCACAUCCUGGGGCUGAAGUAGGUCCCAAGGGUAUGGCUGUUCGCCAUUUAAAGUGGUACGCGAGCUGGGUUUAGAACGUCGUGAGACAGUUCGGUCCCUAUCUGCCGUGGGCGCUGGAGAAUUGAGGGGGGCUGCUCCUAGUACGAGAGGACCGGAGUGGACGCAUCACUGGUGUUCGGGUUGUCAUGCCAAUGGCACUGCCCGGUAGCUAAAUGCGGAAGAGAUAAGUGCUGAAAGCAUCUAAGCACGAAACUUGCCCCGAGAUGAGUUCUCCCUGAGACUUUAAGUCUCCUGAAGGAACGUUGAAGACGACGACGUUGAUAGGCCGGGUGUGUAAGCGCAGCGAUGCGUUGAGCUAACCGGUACUAAUGAACCGUGAGGCUUAACCUU